rnacentral:tRNA from 1 species
CGAGAGGUAUGGCUUAGUGGAAGAUCAGCUGCUUUGUGUGCAGAAGAUCCCAGGUUCAAUCCCCAGCCUUUCCA